ensembl:lncRNA
CACACUUUCCAGAAAAAAAAGGGAGCAAAUGAAAGAAAAAAGAGAGGGAGAGAAUGAAAGAGAAAAGGACUGACAACACAAGCAUGGACAAAAUGGAGAGGACCUUCUCAAACAGUGUUGUAUCAUGUUUGAGGGCCCAGCUUUAACCCAAUGGGUUUAUUUUUUUAUGAAAUCGACAGAAAUUAGUUUGCAUGUCUUUUUGCACCAAAAAGUGUUGGUUGAAAGUAAAACUAUUAUGAUUUUCAGUUUAAAUAAAGCGUAUGGACAGCUACAGCUUGUUAUCCUAUGCUGUCCAAUAACAAAGAGUGACACGUAUGUUUUACAUAUGUUGCAUUCACAGUCUGACGUUAGCAGUGCUUUGAACAGGUCAUCACACUACAAAAUGCAUGAUUCUUAGAAAUGACAGCCUACAUAUCAAUAUUGAUUUAAAGAUGGAAAACUAGGGCAUUGCGUGUGCAUAUAUGUGUGUGUGUGUGCCAUGCCUUGGCAUGCUGUUGAUGAAAAUCAAUUGGGAUUGGCCUCUUCCUCUUUAAUAGAGAUUGAAAUAUAGAUUUGACCUUUUUUUCUUCUAACUAAGCACGUAAGGAAGCGCCUGAGGCAGAGGAGGCCCUUACUGAAGGACUACAGACAGUCAUUUGAAACAGCAGAAAACAAAGUUUCUUUGUAAUAAUGAGGAUGCAGAUAGAGGCUUAGACACGAUGAUAAAAAGGUAAUGGCGUCUCAUAUUCCCCAAUAAGGCUGACUUUAACCUGUUAGUGUUUCCUGAUUUUUAUAUUCUCCUCUGUCAGUCUAAAAGUGUAAUUGUCAUCAGUAAUAGUUCUUUUGUAACUUCUGUUUCUGUUUUACACACAAAAAAAAAAAACCUUCUCUUCUGCGAAUAGAACACAGUGCCAGGUAAAAGCUUGGCCCCUUGAAUCACCCCUUUUUUCUAUAUAAUUACUUUUCUCGAACAUACUUCAGAAACAAUACCCUGUUCCCCUUGAAGACAGGUUUUCCUGUGCGCUAAAUCGAGAAACAGUGUAGGCUGUAGGCGGUCCGGCAGUUUUUGUCUUGUUCUGUUGUUAGCAUCAAUCACACCUGCUGUAUCAUUAAUCGCUUACUGGGUGCUCAGUGCUGGUAGAGGUGGGCAGAGCACAUUAAAAGCUGUAAUUGUGGGGCGAUCGGAUGAAGGAG